rnacentral:rRNA from 1 species
UACGUAGGGUGCAAGCGUUGUCCGGAAUUAUUGGGCGUAAAGAGCUCGUAGGCGGUUUGUCGCGUCUGCCGUGAAAGUCCGGGGCUCAACUCCGGAUCUGCGGUGGGUACGGGCAGACUAGAGUGAUGUAGGGGAGACUGGAAUUCCUGGUGUAGCGGUGAAAUGCGCAGAUAUCAGGAGGAACACCGGUGGCGAAGGCGGGUCUCUGGGCAGUAACUGACGCUGAGGAGCGAAAGCGUGGGGAGCGAACAGG